UACGGAGGGAGCGAACGUUGUUCGGAUUCACUGGGCGUAAAGGGCGUGUAGGCGGUCUGGCAAGUCAGGGGUGAAAUGCCACGGCUCAACCGUGGAUUUGCCUUUGAAACUACCGGACUUGAGGCCGUGAGAGGAGACUGGAAUUCCCAGUGUAGCGGUGAAAUGCAUAGAUAUUGGGAAGAACACCAGUGGCGAAGGCGAGUCUCUGGCACGGUUCUGACGCUGAUGCGCGAAAGCGUGGGGAGCAAACAGG
rnacentral:rRNA from 1 species